rnacentral:rRNA from 1 species
UACGUAGGGGGCAAGCGUUGUCCGGAAUCAUUGGGCGUAAAGAGCGUGUAGGCGGCCCGAUAAGUCCGCUGUGAAAGUCCAGGGCUCAACCCUGGGAUGCCGGUGGAUACUGUCGGGCUCGAGUCCGGAAGAGGCGAGUGGAAUUCCUGGUGUAGCGGUGGAAUGCGCAGAUAUCAGGAGGAACACCGAUGGCGAAGGCAGAUCUCUGGGCCGUAACUGACGCUGAGGAGCGAAAGCAUGGGGAGCGAACAGG